GGGUACAUCCUAUCUGUGAAUGCUUGAUUUGAAUUCCACUAGGUGGAGCACGAAGUAUCUCAUUCUUAUUUCUCCACUAUUAUUGUAAGCAGCACGAUUUUAGAAAUCAACAGACCUGAUUACCAAGUCUGCAUUUUUCUUUGACUUGAUUAUAAGCUCUGCAUUGGGCCGAUCAUUAUAAUCUAUCCGCCACUUAGCAACAUCAGGAGGCUUUCCUGCUGUUGCGACAUGUC
rnacentral:misc_RNA from 1 species